GUGCUGGUGGCUCAAGGGUUAAGCACUUGACUUCCAAUCUGUAGGUCUUGGGUUCGAAUCCCGCCAUGUACU
rnacentral:tRNA from 1 species